rnacentral:rRNA from 1 species
GAUGAACGCUGGCGGCGUGCCUAAUACAUGCAAGUCGAGCGAACAGACGAGGAGCUUGCUCCUCUGACGUUAGCGGUGGACGGGUGAGUAACACGUGGAUAACCUACCUAUAAGACUGGGAUAACUUCGGGAAACCGGAGCUAAUACCGGAUAAUAUAUUGAACCGCAAGGUUCAAUAGUGAAAGACGGUUUUGCUGUCACUUAUAGAUGGAUCCGCGCCGCAUUAGCUAGUUGGUAAGGUAACGGCUUACCAAGGCAACGAUGCGUAGCCGACCUGAGAGGGGGAUCGGCCACACUGGAACUGAGACACGGUCCAGACUCCUACGGGAGGCAGCAGUAGGGAAUCUUCCGCAAUGGGCGAAAGCCUGACGGAGCAACGCCGCGUGAGUGAUGAAGGUCUUCGGAUCGUAAAACUCUGUUAUUAGGGAAGAACAAAUGUGUAAGUAACUAUGCACGUCUUGACGGUACCUAAUCAGAAAGCCACGGCUAACUACGUG